GUCCAGGGUAGCCUAGUGGACAUGGCAUCUGCCCAGUAAUCGGAACACUGUGGGUUCGAUUCCCAUCCCUGGGCA
rnacentral:tRNA from 1 species